rnacentral:lncRNA from 1 species
UUUUCCAGAGUCUUCUCCCAUAGCAGGUGAUUUUUUUUAGUGAUAGCUCCCAGACAAGCUUCUAGCAUCCUGAAGGCAGAGGUGUGUGUGCUCUGCAACCAGAACACCCCCAGAGCCUGGAGGCACCUGGCCCAGCAGCUAGCACGCAGUGGGUUUUUAUGUGUAUUAGUGAAUAAAUCAACGUGGUGGCCUUUGAGUUGAGCCUUAACAGACAAAAAAAGGAGUUAAGUAGGUGGCAAAGGGGAUGGCAUAUUUAUUAAUUACUUUGCUUAAUUUAAAUUAUGGAUUUUAAUAGCUAAUAUAGUUAUAUAGUUCAAAAACCAAAGCACUAUAAGACAGAUAUUAAGAAGGCUCACUUUCAUCCUUAUCUCCAUUUAUUCCUUUCCCUAUCUCAUCAUACCCCUCUCCUGCCCACUGCGAGUUACCAUUUUUAUUGAGAUUUAUAUAUUAUUGCAGUAUAUCUUGUGCAAAUAAAACUAUAAACAAAUAUAUUAUCUUACUUUCUCCCCUUUCCUCACAAAUGCUGGUAUACUCAAAAACUGUUCUGCUCUUUUUUUUUUUUUAACUCAACAAUAUAUCCUGGAGAUAUCUCCUGACAGUACAUUGAGAAAGAUCUUUUUCUUCCUACAGCUGCACUGUACUCCAUGGUAUGCUGCUGCUGCUGCUAAGUCACUUCAGUCGUGUCCGACUCUGUGCGACCCCAUAGAUGGCAGCCCACCAGGCUCCCCCGUUCCUGGGAUUCUCCAGGCAAAACUCCAUGGUAUAGAUGCACCCUAUUGGAAAGGCAGGUUCUUUACCACUAGGACCACCUGGAAAGCCCUAUUUCAAAGACAUUAACCACCCAAGGAAAUAAGCAGUGGAGCCUCUUGGUGCAGGGAAUGUCAUGUCUGCUGGUCAUCAUCUUCUUAAAAGGAUCUCGCCUUGUGUUGAAGACACAGCAGGGGCUCAGCUCGCUGGCCAAGAAGAACUGAUUCCCACGACCUGUACUGCUGGUUACGCAGGCUGCUGCUGAGAGAUCAUUUGAGGCAGCCCUGUGCACACCAUUUCUGCCCACAGGUGUGACCCUGGCUGCUGUGAGGGUUGAGAGUGGGUGCCUUCUGUUCCAUUCUAUACUGGUUAUUUCAGAUUGUCAGAAGAACUGUACCAAUAUUCCCAAGUAAACCUGGCUUUCUCCCUUAACUAAAAUCAUUCUUAAAAUUAAAGCAGAUGAUUUUAAAGGGAAUGGCAUGUUCGAUUUUCCCCUGCAUUCCUUCCAGCCCAAGUGAUGGGCUGCAGCCUAUAAGAUAUGAAAUCUGUGAGAAGGGAAUAAGGCCAACAUGUUUAUGUUGGUGAUUACUGUUGACUUGGUUUUGCUAUUACUAUU